AGGGAUUUGAAGAUGCAACAUCAGUUCAAGCUAAUGGUGGUUCAGAAGUUGGAGCUGCACGAUUCUGUAGGCUUAGCAUCGAUCUCCUUGAAUAUCUUUUUGUCCCCAUGAAUGUGUUGGAGCUGCAUUAUUCUGUUGGUGUGGUGAGUUGUUUCCUUCCUUGUAAUUGUUUUAUCUGAUUUUGUUCUGCUUAUUUUAGGCUUUCAUAACCUUUUUCUUACAAAAUUUUCCUUCCUUGUAUCAUACCUUCAAGCGGAAAUGAAGUUAUCCCAAUUCCCAACAAAAAAUCACACUAGUUAAGUUACACUUGAGGGCAGCAUUGAAGCUUCUAAGACUAAGAAAGUCAUUGGAGUUGUCAACCUGAUGACGCUCGCUAUGUAGGAGGGCCUAUCAGGCUGUUGUACACCACAGAAGAAUUUUGGUAUCCAUUUCAUUGAUUGAUUCAAGUGCCUCUCACCAAAACUAGGCUGAAGCUUUUGUGAAAUGGAUGCUGACAGUGGUUUAACUAGUAAUUGGGGCUUGGAAGCUUUUUCUGCAAACUGUAUCCUACAAUAAGCAGCAGGCCGGGAGCCUGGUAAUUGGUGUUUGUGCAAAUGGACCGUUCAAAUCCUGCCACGUCAAUCGUUGAAGACUGCUUGAAGGAUUGUGUACGUAUCACAUGGUCUUUCACCAUAAAGGAAAUUUGGAAUGCAUUUAACUGAAUGAAGUGGCCCUUAGCUAAACUAGGCUGAGGGUUGGUGUGGAAUGGAUGCGGAUGCCGAAUGGAAUAUAAUAGGUACAUGGGUUUUGCAAGCUUUAUGUACAAUCUGUACGCUAACAAUAGAUCCACCUGCAUAUAGUCUGGCCCUUUUUUGAGAACUUUGUCCCUAAUAUUGCAAAUAUACCCAUUGGUCCUGCUGCUUUAAGUUCUAUGUUAACAUGUGUUUGAAGCUGUCACUGAUUGGUAAGGACCUAGGGUGUUAAUGGUUAGUGAUCCUUAUCCUGCUUUUUCUCUUCAUCAGAUCAAAUCAUAAAGGUUUUGUAUGUUAUAUAUAUAUUGCCUUUCUUACUGGUCAUUUACAAAAUUUUACUACUCAUGGAUUCAAGGAUUUAUAAGCAUUCGAUCAAGAUAUCAUGGUUGGGUUUCACUUAUAUACUUUGUGCAUUACAAGAUGAAGAUCCUAGAAG